rnacentral:snRNA from 1 species
ACUCCUCCCACAGAAACAACAA